rnacentral:rRNA from 1 species
GAUGAACGCUAGCGGGAGGCUUAACACAUGCAAGUCGAGGGGCAGUCCCGCCUUCGGGCGGGAGCGACCGGCGCACGGGUGAGUAACGCGUAUGCAACCUGCCCUUUACCGGAGGAUAACCCGGAGAAAUUCGGACUAAUACUCCAUAAAGAUAUGUUGAGGCAUCUUAAUAUAUUUAAAGCUUCGGUGGUAUAGGAUGGGCAUGCGUAACAUUAGCUAGUUGGGAGGUAACGGCCUGCCAAGGCAAUGAUGUUUAGGGGACCUGAGAGGGUGACCCCCCACACUGGUACUGAGACACGGACCAGACUCCUACGGGUGGCUG